ensembl:ncRNA Y55F3BR.14 ncRNA
UUCGUGGUGGGACCCAAACAUUUUCGAAAUUAACGGAACCACGUCAUGAUUAUAUGCAUUUUGAAGCUCU